ensembl:lncRNA
GAGAUAAACAGUAAAAGACAACAAAGAGAACUUUGGGUAAGGCUGCAUUCCCCCUUUUGCACUCUCUAGGUAAGUGAGAAGAUUUUUUUGGACAGUUUAACCAGAAAAAAAGACAGCGGAAAGACCGAGGUUGGAAAAAAAAAAACGACAGAAGAUGAUAUAGACACAUUUGAAGAGCAGGUCUGGUUCCCAUUAGACUAAAGGUCCAGGGAUCGGUAUGCUUUGAGAAGGCAGGCUGGUCCCAUAGGAGAGAAGAAACAGGCUGAAGUCACUCCACCCAUUUUGAAAGGGUUGAUAGAAAGUCAGCUGGAAAAGCUCACGCUCUUCUCCUUGUUUGCUUGGAAAGAUGGUCGUGGGGAACCUGGAGCCUAUCCCAGGGAGCAUCGGGCUCAAGGCGGGGUACACCCUGGACAGGGUGCCAAACCAUCGCAGAGACCAGAGUAUCCGGAGGAAACCCCCGCAGCACGGGGAGAAAAUGCAAACUCCACACACACAGGGCCACGAUGGGAAUCGGACCCCCGACCCUGAGGCGAACGGGCGAACGUACUAACCACUAAGCCACCGUGCGCCCCCUCUGAUAGUAGUUCCUGCUGUAAUUACAAUGAUGGUUUAUGUGGAAGGUGAUCAUCAUUUAACUGUAAACAUUGACAGGUUGUUAAAAGAAAAACAGUUGAUAUGGUGAGGUUUAUUUACUGGGGCGGCUGUGGAUCAGGUGAUAGAGAGGGUUGUCCACUAACCGUAGGGAUGGUGGUCCGAUUCCCGGUCUACGUGACUCCUCAUACCAAAGCGUCCUUGGGUGAGACACUGAACCCCAAGUCGCUCCCGAUGCCAAGUUAGCACCUUGCAUGGCAGCUCUGCGACCAUUGGUGUGAGUGUGAAUGGGAGAAUGAGACACAGUGUAAAGCGCUUUGGAUAAAAGCGCUAUAUAAGUGCAGACCAUUUAUUUAACGUUUAAUAAAUUACGAGUCUACAGUGGCAGCACUUUGUACCAGUACAUUUUCUUCCAUGGGAAAAUCUGCACAAGAGGGGGGGUUUAUGCUUUUGUGGCUUCUCAGUAACAUGACAAGCUGAUUUUUUUUUUUUUUCCAUCGUAUUAUCUUCAAGAGAAGCUGGUGAGGGGACAACUAUUUAUAGUUGUUUUAAUAACGCAACUGAAACAGGAACUAGCUUGUUUUGCAGACAAUACACAGCACUGAAUGUACUGUAACUAUGGAUUAAUAAAAGUUCUUCGCUGGUACAUUUUAAAAAAUUGCAAUAGUUGAUAAAUCACUGUGGUACAAGAAGAAUAAAACACG